CAUGUACUCCCUCCGUCCGGAAUUACUUGUCACAAAAAUGGAUGAAAAUGGAUGUAUCUAGAACUAAAAUACAUCUAGAUACAUCCAUUUCUCCGACAAGUAUUUCCGGACAGAGGGAGUAUUAA
rnacentral:pre_miRNA from 1 species